rnacentral:rRNA from 1 species
GAGUUUGAUUCUGGCUCAGGAUGAACGCUAGCGAUAGGCUUAACACAUGCAAGUCGAGGGGCAGCAUGAACUUAGCUUGCUAAGUUUGGUGGCGACCGGCGCACGGGUGCGUAACGCGUAUGCAACUUGCCUUACAGAGGGGGAUAACCCGUUGAAAGACGGACUAAUACCGCAUAUACUUAUUCGGUUGCAUGACCGGGCAAGGAAAUAUUUAUAGCUGUAAGAUAGGCAUGCGUCCCAUUAGCUGGUUGGUGAGGUAACGGCUCACCAAGGCAACGAUGGGUAGGGGAACUGAGAGGUUUAUCCCCCACACUGGUACUGAGACACGGACCAGACUCCUAUCGGGAGGCAGCAGUGAGGAAUAUUGGUCAAUGGGCGAGAGCCUGAACCCAGCCAAGUCGCGUGAAGGAAGACUGUC